CUACGUGCCAGCAGCCGCGGUAAUACGUAUGUCAUAAGCGUUAUCCGGAUUUAUUGGGCGUAAAGCGCGUCUAGGUGGUUAUGUAAGUCUGAUGUGAAAAUGCAGGGCUCAACUCUGUAUUGCGUUGGAAACUGCAUGACUAGAGUACUGGAGAGGUAAGCGGAACUACAAGUGUAGAGGUGAAAUUCGUAGAUAUUUGUAGGAAUGCCGAUGGGGAAGCCAGCUUACUGGACAGAUACUGACGCUAAAGCGCGAAAGCGUGGGUAGCAAACAGGAUUAGAUACCCUGGUAGUCCACGCCGUAAACGAUGAUUACUAGGUGUUGGGGGUCGAACCUCAGCGCCCAAGCUAACGCGAUAAGUAAUCCGCCUGGGGAGUACGUACGCAAGUAUGAAACUCAAAGGAAUUGACGGGGACCCGCACAAGCGGUGGAGCAUGUGGUUUAAUUCGACGCAACGCGAGGAACCUUACCAGCGUUUGACAU
rnacentral:rRNA from 1 species